rnacentral:lncRNA from 1 species
AAUGUUUAGGGUGGGAGAGAAUAGUGACUCCUAAUUUAUUUUGUUCUACAAUAAGAAACAGCUCUCCUAGAGAACAUCCAGCUUAGGUGCUGGAUGAGUGGAGAGCCUGAAGUCUUGGUCCAGCCAGAGUAUGUCUCCUUCCUGUAUUGCAGAGAUUCAUGCCUCCUACCAUCUCUCUAUUUGGAUCUGUGCUGCUUGAGUUGGCAACUCCAGCAGUAUUAGGCCAUACAAGAGAGUUUUUAGCAACUAACCCAGGAUAAAGUGGGAAGGAGGCCUCUAGAUGACAUAAAAUGGAGGCUCAUCAAGGAAGUCUUGAGGAAAACAGUAUAACAGCACUCUGCCAAGGGGAUGAGACGUAUCUAGUAAUCUUCCAAGUAGAAGGUAUGGAUCUGUAGGUAUGGUCCUGCUUCAUUUCCCCAAAGUGAUACAUCAUUCAUAGGCCAGAACAAGAAAUUGGGGAAGACACAGGUACACCAAAGUAUGUCAGUGAUCAGAAGUGUACCGUAAAGUAGUAGUGCCCAGACUCAUUAAUCAGGAACAGCCAUGUGGUAUACACAGGAACUUGCAUUCUUUUACUUUACAAGUUACAUGAUCGAUUCACCUUGAUGCAAUAAUGUGUCCUCGUGUUGGUCCAUGAGCUUGACUAAGGUUGUUUCAUUGGCCAGAGGUCCCUAUGAAGAUGACCUAAGUUACCUCUAGAGAGUCUGUCAUUUCUGCUCUGUCCUCCAGCUCAUCUCUCCCCACUUCCAAACCCCCAUCCCCUCUUUGAAGGAGCUGGUAUGCAAAAUCCCACUCCAAUUAGAGAGAGAAGAUUGAAUCUCAUGAGCCUUUAUUACAUUGUUUAUUAGGGAAAUCCUGAAAUAGCCCAAACCUUAUAAGUUCCAAUAUCUAUAGAUAUGAAUCCAGGUACUGGGUCACUGUCUGGGGACACAUAAACCUUGGAUGUGGGGAGGCCUGGUCUAGGAGACAGGAGACUCAUUAUUAUAGCAAGGAUUGUAAAAAGUAUGCUCCAUACCUGGGGAUGAAUGUGUGUCUUGGUCAGAAACUGUCCUUGUGGGAAACCAAGGCCAUUAGCAGUAGGCAGUGUCCCCCUCUGCUACAUGUGUUUUGUUAGUGAUGAAGUGUGCCAUUUCAGCAAACUAAUUGACUACCUUAACCUCUUAGGAGGCAGACCCUUCCUGAGGAUGAUUGGUGGCAAGGUAAGCUGAGUAUUGCUUAAGGCUAGAGCUUUGUUGGAGUUAGGGUCUUGCUCCUCUAACUGCCAUGCUAGAGAAGCAGCAUCAGCAUCGCCUGGGAGCUUGUCAGAAAAGCAGAGUCUCAGGCCCCACCCAGACCUACUGGAUCAAAACUGCAUUUGGCAAGAUUCUCAGGAGACUCAGUCAGCUGAUUUUAAGAUAGGGAGAGUAUCUGGAUUACCCAGGAGGAGCCAAUGAAGUCACAAGGGUCCUGGAAAGUAGAAGAGGGAGGCAGGAGGUCAGAAUCAGAGGAGAUGUGAGAAGAACUAGACUUGUCCUCGCUGGCUUUGAAGAUGGAGGAAGCGGGCCAAGAGUCGAGGAUGUGAGUGACCUCUAAUAGCGGGAAAAGGGGAAGAAACAGAUUCUCCCCCAGAGCCUCCAGAAGGGAACACAGCCCUGCUGAUGCUUUGAUUUUUGCCCAGUGAGACCUGUGUUGUUCUUACCUACAGAGCUGUAUGAUAAUAAAUUUAUGUUGUUUUAAGC